CGGUGGCGACUCGGGAGAAGGAGGAGAAGGAGAAGGAGCAGGGCCAGUAGGAGGCAGCGGAGGCGAUCGGGCCAGGGUGAUGGUGCAGGUGCCCCCGGCGGGCGCGGAGCUGCCGGGCUGAGGGGCGCCUGGUCCAGGGUCCGCAGCGCCGCCGCGUCGCUCUCAGGGACGGGCGAGCGGGCGGGAAGAUGCUGAGCAGGUUGAUGAGCGGCAGCAGCAGGAGCCUGGAGCGCGAGUACAGCUGCACCGUGCGGCUGCUGGACGACAGCGAGUACACCUGCACCAUUCAGAGAGAUGCCAAAGGCCAGUACCUGUUUGACCUUCUUUGCCACCACCUGAACCUACUUGAGAAAGACUAUUUUGGGAUCCGCUUUGUGGACCCAGAUAAGCAGCGGCAUUGGUUGGAGUUUACAAAGUCGGUUGUGAAGCAACUGAGAUCCCAGCCUCCAUUCACCAUGUGCUUCCGUGUGAAAUUUUACCCUGCAGACCCUGCUGCUCUGAAAGAAGAAAUAACCAGGUAUUUAGUCUUCCUACAGAUCAAAAGGGAUCUCUACCAUGGCCGCCUCCUCUGUAAAACAUCUGAUGCUGCCUUGUUAGCAGCUUAUAUACUUCAAGCCGAGAUUGGAGAUUACGACCCAGGGAAACAUCCUGAAGGUUACAGCUCCAAGUUCCAAUUUUUUCCUAAACAUUCAGAGAAGCUGGAAAAGAAAAUUGCUGAAAUUCACAAGACAGAACUCAGUGGUCAAACACCAGCAACAUCAGAGUUGAACUUCUUAAGAAAAGCACAGACAUUGGAGACUUACGGGGUGGAUCCUCACCCAUGUAAGGAUGUGUCAGGAAAUGCUGCAUUUCUGGCCUUUACUCCUUUUGGGUUUGUUGUUCUUCAAGGAAACAAGAGGGUCCACUUCAUUAAAUGGAAUGAGGUGACCAAGCUGAAAUUUGAAGGAAAGACUUUCUAUUUAUAUGUAAGUCAGAAAGAGGAAAAGAAAAUUAUUCUCACAUAUUUUGCUCCAACUCCAGAAGCCUGCAAGCACCUCUGGAAAUGUGGAAUUGAGAACCAAGCCUUCUACAAGCUGGAGAAGUCAAGCCAAGUCCGCACAGUGUCCAGCAGCAAUUUAUUCUUUAAAGGGAGCCGGUUCCGAUACAGUGGCCGAGUUGCAAAGGAAGUGAUGGAGUCGAGUGCCAAGAUCAAACGAGAGCCACCGGAAAUACACAGAGCAGGGAUGGUUCCCAGCCGGAGCUGUCCUUCCAUAACCCAUGGCCCACGGCUGAGCAGUGUCCCCAGGACCCGCAGAAGAGCUGUACACAUCUCCAUCAUGGAAGGCCUGGAGUCCCUACGGGACAGUGCCCACUCCACCCCGGUGCGUUCUUCUUCCCACGGGGACACCUUUCUGCCUCAUGUGAGAAGCAGCCGGGCAGACAGCAAUGAGCGAGUAGCGGUGAUUGCGGAUGAGGCCUACAGCCCUGCAGAUAGCGUGCUGCCCACCCCUGUGGCUGAGCACAGCCUGGAGCUGAUGCUGCUCUCCCGGCAGAUCAAUGGAGCCACCUGCAGCAUUGAGGAGGAGAAGGAGUCUGAGGCCAGCACCCCAACUGCUGCAGAGGUGGAGGCCCUGGGAGGAGAGCUGAGGGCCCUGUGUCAGGGGCACGGCAGGCCAGAGGAGGAACAGGUGAAUAAGUUUGUUUUAAGUGUCCUCCGUUUGCUCCUUGUGACCAUGGGACUCCUCUUUGUUUUGCUCCUCCUCCUGAUCAUCCUUACCGAGUCUGACCUUGACAUUGCCUUUUUCCGCGAUAUCCGCCAGACCCCCGAGUUUGAACAAUUCCACUAUCAAUACUUUUGUCCCCUCAGGCGAUGGUUUGCCUGCAAAAUCCGCUCAGUGGUGAGCCUGCUCAUUGACACCUGAGAAGGCAUGACUCCUCCCAAUAACUAGCCAGGUGGACCAAGGAGCCCGGCUACCCAUUCCCAGCAAUGGGACCCAUCGCGGAACCAUCGGCACAUAUACCAAGUCCUCCUUUCAUGACUCAAAGUCCACUGCAGCCUAGGAGGGUUAUUUCCCAGAAGAAGAAAGGGAUAGGCUCACGCCCUGUCUAAACAAACUGGGAAAACUCAUUUUCUUCAGAGAUUCUUUCAAGAAAGGCUCAGCAACUCUUUCUCAUCCUUCAAUUUUGCAGGAUAAUUUUUGGUUUUGAAUUUUGAUUUUUCAUAGAUGUGUAUUAUUUUGAAAGUAUCAAAUAAAAAUAAUUUAUUUUACUAUAACUGAUUAUUGCAGUAGUGUCACCUAGCAGAUGGAAUGCUAGUUGAAGACAAGAGAGCUGUUGUUGUCCUCUGUAUUCUGCAGGCAUUUUUCUACUGGUGCCACUGGGUUCCGGGAGACAUCACUGCAGCCUCAGCGGGGCAGGUCAGGGGUCUGGACAAUGGGGACUGUUUAGGUUUUCUUGCCAGACAAAACUUUUUUUAAAAGUCAACAUCCAUGUAGAAUGAUUAAAUGGAAAGUUGCUUCUUUUGAUGGUCUGAGUUGGAUUUUCUUUUCCUUUUGUUUUUUUCAAAUCUGAGCAGAGUGGGCAUCUGAAGGGACCACCGGUACAGCAGUAACACAGCAGGGGUGGGAAAAUAGAACCUGAUGAACUAAAUGAUGCAAGAAAGAAACUGAUCCUGAGAAGGAAAAACGUCAGAAAAUAGAAUUCCAAGAUCAACAAACAGCCUUGGAAGGGACAAGGAAAAGAGUCUUUUAAAAAUAAGAUUUCUAAGAGAUGCCUACAAAAGACAGAAGGUGAACUUGGCAGAGACUAACACUUAGAUGUAGAAAUGCUGCCCCCUAGGGUCAUCCUGCACAUCGGGAAAUAAGUUCCAAGAAGGCACUGGUCAUCCUUGCUGAGGGAAGCCCUGGAUGUUCACAGAAGCACAGGUCCACAGAUGGUGAGUGUGAGUCCCUAAGGCCCGAGCUCUGCAACUCUUAAAACCAAUCACACACAAAAUCUUGUUCUCAUCUCAGGGAGAGAUUUCUAAGUCAUCUGGGGCCUGAGGACUUAUUUAAGGAUAGUCAGUGGUCAUAUUCCUGGGACCCACACAGUAGUGAAGCAGCUGCCGACACUAUGAUGUUGGACAGCCCCAAAUGCUGAACAGAAAGAGUCACUUAUAGAUUUGAUCUCCCCUGUUUUGUCCCCUGAAAUGGUAGAACCAAUUCCGUGUUCAGAAUAUAACAGCCAUGGAAAAUUCAGGGUUUUGCAGGGUGAGGGGGGAGAGUGGAUUUGUCUAAUUUUAAAGAAAGAUACCCUUUUCUUCUAGACCACAGGUCAAGAAACGUCAUCUGAAAAGUGCCAGAUAGUAAUUUUUUUUUUCUUUGUUCUGUCACAAUUAACUCUGCCAUCACAGCACAAAAAUAGCCAUGGAUUAUGUGGGUAUGAAGGAGCAUAGCUGUGUUCCAAUACUACUAUAAAAAGACAGUAUGCUGAAUUUGGCCCACGGGCCAUAAUAUGCCAACCCUGAUCUAGACAAUAAAACUGACCACUAUGGAGAAGAGGGUCAGCUCUGCUCCAAUUCCUGGCAUGUGUUAAAGACCUAGGGCCUUUUCCCAGUGGAAACACUAGGGUUGCUUGUUUACAGGGUGCUCAAACAACCAACCAGCAAAGAUGUCUGAAGCCAAGAUGAGCAAGAUCAAGUCCUGGAAUGCUAAAACAUGGCAAAUCUAAAAAUGGAAGUGGGCCUAUCUGAUCAUUUCCAUACCAGCAACAAUUUGGGCAGAAUUGCAAACAUACUUAUCAAGUGACAUGACAAACUGAAGGAGAUCCUAGUAAAGAUUAAGGAUCACUUAAACCAACUAGCCACUGCCACUUGUCAUCUACAUAGCAAAGGCUUUAUUUAGCAUAGGACUAAAGUGAAAAGUAGACCCAGAGAGGAAAAGGCUGUCAGGAGACAGGGAGCUGCUGUUAACCUGGAUAUCUACUGUCUUCUGCAACAUAGAUUACCUUCUAGUGUAGUGCUCCUACCUCAGUCUGUAGAACUCGGUGUCUCUAUGCAGUGAGAGCCUUGCUCUGACCUUUCACAUCCACACUAGAGAUGCAGUAUCCCAUUGCCUGGUGUGUUACUUGUGUCUAGAGUUCUAACAGUGCAGUAGUUUGUACCAUUUCCAGCAGUUGAACAGAAACUUGUGGGAUUUUUUUUUUUUUUUUCAGGGCUUUCCCCAGAAAAUAUGGAUAGAAAAGUUUCCUUCAAUUUGCUUUUCAAAUUGUGCUUGAAUAACAAACCUCCUUUAUUGGUAACUAGUCUUUUUUGAUAUCUCCCACCAUUAAAAAUUAUUCGAGUUUUUAAUCUUGUUUUAUGUGUUCUAUCUACCAUGUCUCUCAUUUUAUCUUACUGUAGAAAAAGUAAUGGUUUCCAUAGCAUCAUCUUUCAGAGGAAAUAACUUUUUCUGAAAAUAGUGAACUGCAUCUUUAAGCAGUAGAGGGUAAACUACCUGCAAAUGUGAAUUUCUUAGUUUCAUUUAAAAAUAUAUAGUUGUUAACCUUUCGUGUGCCAAAAACUCUUGAGUUACAUUUUCCUUCAAAGCAAUGUACUUUUUUCUACAUAUGCAGUAUGUAGUUAGCAUAAAAUCAUUGGUGCCAUGAAAAUUAUUUUUAACUUAAAUAAAUAUUUAAAUACC